rnacentral:rRNA from 3 species
CAGACCUCUAAUCGGAAAAGACU